rnacentral:rRNA from 1 species
AUUGAACGCUGGCGGCAGGCUUAACACAUGCAAGUCGAACGAGUGGCGGACGGGGGAGUAAUGCUUGGGAAUCUAGCUUAUGGAGGGGGAUAACUACGGGAAACGGUAGCUAAUACCGCGUACCAUAGGAGGAGCCCAAGGGGGAUUAGGUACUUGGUGAGGUAAAGGCUACCCAAGCCGACGAUCUCUAGCUGGUCUGAGAGGAUGACCAGCCACACGGGGACUGAGACACGGCCCAGACUCCGACGGGAGGCAGCAGUGGGGAAUAUUGCGCAAUGGGGGCAACCUGACGCAGCCAUGCCGCGUGAAUGAAGAAGGCCUUCGGGUUGUAAAGUUCUUUCGGUAGCGAGGCGUUAACUACAGCAGAAGCACCUGCUAACUCCGUGCCAGCAGCCGCGGUAAUUC